UUUUGUCUUCAGUUCUCACUCAGAGGUCUGAGCAUGUUGUCUCCGAGGUGAAGAGUACAAUGGGGAACAUUAGAUACCACCAUGACCUAUUGGUGUCACACUGUCCGAGCAGAUGGCACAUGAAAGUAGCAGUAAAGGCCUGCCUUUUCUCCCUGAAAGAAUAUAAUGAUAUAGGAUGGUCUGGUGGUGCAGCAAUGCUGACUUACUGGUUAUAGUGGGUUAUGACGUGGCGCCAUGCUGCCAAUGAGAAAUUGGAUACCGCUGAUUGGUGUCCUGUCCUAGCGGAUGUAACCUGGAAGUAGCAGAAUGAAUGCCGCCUUUCCUCCCUGAAAGAAUGCUGUGCAGUGUGCACAGAACGAUAAAGGAUGGUCUGGAUGUGCAGCAGUGCUGACUUAAUGGUUAUAGUGGGUCAUGACGUGGCGCCAAGCUGCCAAUGAGAAAUUGGAUACCGCUGAUUGGUGUCCUAGCGGAUGUAACCUGGAAGUAGCAGAAUGAUUGCCGCCUUUCCUCCCUGAAAGAAUGCUGUGCAGUGCACAGAACGAUAUAGUCUGGAGGUGCAGCAGUGCAGACUGGUCGUAGUGGGGUUGACAUGGAGUCACAAGUCAUUAUCGGAGCGGUGCUGAAGAACGAAUGAAGAUUGUGACCCGUUGAAGAUGCAAGGUGGCAGUAAUGGGUUGUGCCUUUAGUAGAAGAAAGCAGAUUGUUCAGUUGCUGGUCCUAGACUAGGGUGACCUCUGAUUUUAUAUUAUACAUAUGCAGCUGCCACUAUUAUAGCCUUUAGAUGCUGUUUACCACAUCGUGCUCAGUUUAAGUUUGGUAAUCACGCCAAAACCCUUUUGACUCAGUGUGACCAUUGUUUAAUUAGCAUUUGUUGAGCCAAUUUCACCAUGUACCUGCCCUGUUUGAUUUGAAUAUAAAUGUAUUGCUUUCAAGAUAAUUCAAAUAAACUCAAGCUGAUCUGUG